GAGUAAAUGUAUUCACCUCUUGGCUGACUCAUCCUCAGACAUUUGCCUUUCUCCUUUAUUUAUAUUUCAGCUACUAUAAAACCUCUACUGCUUUGUCAAACCCACCUUUGUGGGACACGCAGAUCACUGCCAUUUCUGCUGCAUGACCAGUCGGAGACCUGCUGUACUCGCCACCAAAAGCGGCAAAUCCUCCACCUAAUGCCUGAAAAGGAAGAAAAUUCUCUUCACAGUGAAAAGAGAUUUGAAAGAGAAGGAAUGCUCCCCGAGUCAACUGAGCCCAGUGACUCUCGUAGUAUGCUCCCUAUACGUGUUCAGACACUUAAUGUAGAUGCUCCAAGUCUUUCCCCUGGUAUAUCUGCCUGCCUGGUGCUCUGUGUAGAUUUUGGUCCUCUGCUUGGGAUCACAGCCGUGAAAUGCUUCAAGUGGCGAGCGUGCUGUCCCAGCUCUGGCUGCAGUGACGGAGGGGACAGCUACGUAACCGACAGAGGGGGGAGGCUGGCACAUCACCCUGAGAAAGCAAUCUGAAGCAGUGAAGAAAAUGGAGUCUGAUUAAGGCAUCCGCAGCGCAAAAAAUGGACAGUGAUUGUCCUUUGUUUCUCUAUUUGUGACUUUGCAAUGUGGAUUUGAUUACAGCGGUCUGAACUCAGCAGAUUUCCUCCCUGCGAACAGUGGAAAACAUUGAUGCUCUAUUUACAAAGAAUUUCUGGGAAGCCUGUUGCACAUACGUAUCAACAACUACUUGCUUGGAUGGUUUUUAUUUAAUAGGGUUUUGAAAAGCAUGUGGAGAAAAUUUCUGCUGUGGUGCAUUUAACUUAGAAAUGUGCUGUGCCUGGAGGAAUAAGCUCUUAGGAGUUUCAGUGCUUUUGUAUCUGGGCAAAGUGUGCUGGUAUAGGGGUGUGUAUUUGGGCUCUCGUCUUAUCAUAAGCUCUGGGGCCUGUGGCUGGAUUGUACCUCGCUGGAGAGUCCAGCCUGUAUGUAGGCAAGGCUCUGUGUAGAAGUUGCGUUUGCUAAAAUUUUUUGCUCAAGGCCUUGAGUUUUAUAACAUUUUUUUAUGACGUUUGCUCUUUGGAACAAUAUCUACAAUAUGUUAAUUUUCCUUUUACUCCAAGCUCCAGCAAUCACCCUAAAAUGGCAUUACAUAACAUAGCACAUCUGGCCUGGAAAGGGACAGUUCAAAUGUUCUAUAUUUGGGUUGCGAUCAUUAUUUUAAUGUAGGUCUAGUGAGGGGAUUUGAAGAUAGAUAAUGUCUCUAAAAUUUGAAAAAUUCUACUGUGUCUCUUUAUGGUAUUUGUUUUAACUGACCUUUCUUUAUUUCCAGAUCACAGGAGAAGCCCUUCAGAGCUGGCACACAGGAGCAAUAUGAAUUACAAGCAAGGUGUGUCUAGAGUCUGCAAGGACCCAAUAUAUCCUGCACUCGUGGUUAAACGAGCGGGAAUUGCAGCCCUCGAACCCCACAGCAUUUGGUUAUACUUGAAUUUCUGAUUAUUCGCUCCCUUACAAAUAGUUUCUGAAUUUCCUAGUGUUCAGUAGCAAGCCUGAACACACAAAAAGCAGGUCACGGUUAUUCAGACAUUUUUUGUUUCAAAAUAACUCAGUAUCUGAUGCAAUUCACUUUAACUAGUACAUCCUCAAAUCACUGUUUUAAAAGCUUCCUUAAAAAUUGUUAAGGGACUUUUCUGUUUCCCUAUUGAAAUUUACAGCGGUCUUUUCAGCAAGGAAGAAACUAAUCAGGGUCCCAAAUCUAAAAAGUCUUUACACAGACAGUUAACCAAAAUAAAGUUGAAGAUACACGUAAAGAUAAAAGUCUUUGCAGGAAUUGGACUCAGCUAACCAUAAAAGAGAUGUCAUAAAAUCUGACUAUGCCAUCCAAAGCACAGAGAAAACCAAAAAAGUGAGACCAUUUAGUAACUUAUCUCCAUUUAAUCAAGUUGCAAGUACAUGAAGUACUCAUUUCUCAGCCAGCACUGUGAUUUUCAGGUGGGAGGCAAACCUUCAGGAUAUUUCCAAACAGGUCUCACAAGUUAUUUAAAAGUGCAUAUCCACUAUUUAUAGCUGAAGUAUUUCUCUUGUUUCACUUUCAGUGAAACUCAUGUUUGAAAUUUUUAUAGGCUUAAAAAGCAUCAUUCAGCCUGGUUAAAGAGCUUACUUUCGCAAUGCACACUGAAAGAUACAGCGCACUCAUGACACGGCAGGUAAAUAUGAAGGACAAACGCAUACAUGCUAUGUGUAAGGCAACAGAUCUCACGUUGGGAAACAAGAGGGGGAACUGAAAGAGAAAAGACUGGGAAGUAGGCAGAAGAGGAAAAGAGACAAGAAUAAGCACUAACAACCUGAGUCAACAUUAACAAGAAAAGACUCCCUGAAGGGAAGAGGUCCCUUUCUCAUGACUUCUCUGUUUAUUGAUUCAAAUGGAAGAAGAUAGAUACCACAUUGUGGACCUGUUUUCUAAUUAGCAAACAAACUAACAACUAUAAUUAAAACAUCUGAUUUAAAGAAUGCAUGAAAAGCAACCUUACUGUUUUGACUGUGACCUGUUUAGUCUGCUUUGAGCUUUUUAGAAGCUCAAUAUCGGAGGUUAUGGAACAGAUGGAAAAAAAUAAUGCCAGCACAUUUUCUCCCCUUAAGCUAAAUAAUAGGACACGCAGUGGGUAGAUACCACAUAAGUGGUAGACAAAACCUUGAUUUAGCUUCUAGAACUUGUAAGAACCAUACACACUGCAAUUUUUAAUUACUGAAAAUCAGUAUUAUAUCUUUAGUCUGAAAAAAAAAAAACCCAACCAAAACUUCCUAGAUGAUUUUAGGAUGCAGCAAUGUAUUAAACUUGCACAUCAAAAAAAUCCCAGUUCACACUGUUCAUUCUUCCAUUGUUCAUUCUUCUAUAUCUUAUAUAGAAGGGAUACUUUCAGCACACUGUAAGUCAGUUGCAUAUCCAAUGUCAUUAACCUUAACAUAGUCUUCAACAAGGUUUUGAAGCUCUGCAAUGUCCCUGGUCAUGCUCACAGCUUGCAGCAGUCACGACUUAGUUGCGUACAUACUCCCACCGGAUUUUCUAGGUCCAACGAAGCCACAAGAACAUAUGUGUUUGCACUGAUCCCACAUUUAAGCUCACUGCAGGAAAAGCUGCUCAGGCUUGCUCUAAGCCUGCAGUUAAAUGGAAGAAGACAGGUAACCUCUAGGGCCUGACCCAGUGUCCACCAGCUUCUCUGGGAGUCUUGGCAAUGAUGGCCUUAGCCCAUCAGUCAGGCCCCUUGGUGUUCGGUAUACAGUACACCCAGGUCUAAGAGCUGUUUCCAAAGGAGGAGCAAUAUGUCUUAUUUAAAACCUGUUAGUUUGUGAACUUAUCUCCAAAUAGUCCCAUGGGAAAACAGGGAAGUGUCAAAACCCAAUAUCUUAAAUUAUUGACAUACCAAGUAACCUGUGAAGGAAAACAAACACAUUUGCUCUCUUACCCUGAAAACAAAAGAUUGGCACCGCUUCUGUAAAUGAUAGUAAGGCUGGUUUUUUACCAGUAGUAAUGCAGGUUCUACAUGUUUUUAUUUCUUAGAAGAUUUUACUGAUGACAGA